CCUCACUUGUGGGGGGAUUAGUGGCGAACGGGUGAGUAACACGUGAGUAACCUGCCCUUAACUCUGGGAUAAGCCUGGGAAACUGGGUCUAAUACCGGAUAUGACUCCUCAUCGCAUGGUGGGGGGUGGAAAGCUUUAUUGUGGUUUUGGAUGGACUCGCGGCCUAUCAGCUUGUUGGUGAGGUAAUGGCUCACCAAGGCGACGACGGGUAGCCGGCCUGAGAGGGUGACCGGCCACACUGGGACUGAGACACGGCCCAGACUCCUACGGGAGGCAGCAGUGGGGAAUAUUGCACAAUGGGCGAAAGCCUGAUGCAGCGACGCCGCGUGAGGGAUGACGGCCUUCGGGUUGUAAACCUCUUUCAGUAGGGAAGAAGCGAAAGUGACGGUACCUGCAGAAGAAGCGCCGGCUAACUACGUGCCAGCAGCCGCGGUAAUACGUAGGGCGCAAGCGUUAUCCGGAAUUAUUGGGCGUAAAGAGCUCGUAGGCGGUUUGUCGCGUCUGCCGUGAAAGUCCGGGGCUCAACUCCGGAUCUGCGGUGGGUACGGGCAGACUAGAGUGAUGUAGGGGAGACUGGAAUUCCUGGUGUAGCGGUGAAAUGCGCAGAUAUCAGGAGGAACACCGAUGGCGAAGGCAGGUCUCUGGGCAUUAACUGACGCUGAGGAGCGAAAGCAUGGGGAGCGAACAGGAUUAGAUACCCUGGUAGUCCAUGCCGUAAACGUUGGGCACUAGGUGUGGGGGACAUUCCACGUUUUCCGCGCCGUAGCUAACGCAUUAAGUGCCCCGCCUGGGGAGUACGGCCGCAAGGCUAAAACUCAAAGGAAUUGACGGGGGCCCGCACAAGCGGCGGAGCAUGCGGAUUAAUUCGAUGCAACGCGAAGAACCUUACCAAGGCUUGACAUGAACCGGAAAUACCUGGAAACAGGUGCCCCGCUUGCGGUCGGUUUACAGGUGGUGCAUGGUUGUCGUCAGCUCGUGUCGUGAGAUGUUGGGUUAAGUCCCGCAACGAGCGCAACCCUCGUUCUAUGUUGCCAGCGCGUUAUGGCGGGGACUCAUAGGAGACUGCCGGGGUCAACUCGGAGGAAGGUGGGGACGACGUCAAAUCAUCAUGCCCCUUAUGUCUUGGGCUUCACGCAUGCUACAAUGGCCGGUACAAAGGGUUGCGAUACUGUGAGGUGGAGCUAAUCCCAAAAAGCCGGUCUCAGUUCGGAUUGGGGUCUGCAACUCGACCCCAUGAAGUCGGAGUCGCUAGUAAUCGCAGAUCAGCAACGCUGCGGUGAAUACGUUCCCGGGCCUUGUACACACCGCCCGUCAAGUCACGAAAGUUGGUAACACCCGAAGCCGGUGGCCUAA
rnacentral:rRNA from 1 species